rnacentral:rRNA from 1 species
CCCUGCCCUAUGAUUAUUUAAAUGGCUGCAGUAUUCUGACUGUGCAAAGGUAGCAUAAUAAUUAGUCUUUUAAUUAAGGACUUGAAUGAAUGGGAAUAUGAGAAAUUAGUUUUAUUUAUUUUAUUUUUAAAAUUUAAUUUUUAGGUAAAAAAGCUUAAUAAUUUUUUUGGGACGAGAAGACCCUAUAGAACUAUAAUUUUUUAUAUUUAAUAAAUAUAUUUAGUAAAUGUAUUAUUUUUUAAUAUAAACAUUUUUUGUUGGGGUGAUUAAUAAAUUAAACUUUAUUUUUAAUAAUCAUUUGUUAAUGUUUUUUUGAUCCUUAAAAUUAUGAUUAAAAGAUUAAGUUACCUUAGGGAUAACAGCGUAAUUUAAAUGGAAAGUUCAUAUUUAUAUAAAAGUUUGCGACCUCGAUGUUGAAUUAAGAUAAGAAUAGGGGGUAG